rnacentral:rRNA from 1 species
GGGUUGUGAGGUUAAGCGACUAAGCGUACACGGUGGAUGCCCUGGCAGUCAGAGGCGAUGAAGGACGUGCUAAUCUGCGAUAAGCGUCGGUAAGGUGAUAUGAACCGUUAUAACCGGCGAUUUCCGAAUGGGGAAACCCAGUGUGAUUCGUCACACUAUCAUUAACUGAAUCCAUAGGUUAAUGAGGCGAACCGGGGGAACUGAAACAUCUAAGUACCCCGAGGAAAAGAAAUCAACCGAGAUUCCCCCAGUAGCGGCGAGCGAACGGGGAGGAGCCCAGAGCCUGAAUCAGUGUGUGUGUUAGUGGAAGCGUCUGGAAAGGCGCGCGAUACAGGGUGACAGCCCCGUACACAAAAAUGCACAUGCUGUGAGCUCGAUGAGUAGGGCGGGACACGUGGUAUCCUGUCUGAAUAUGGGGGGACCAUCCUCCAAGGCUAAAUACUCCUGACUGACCGAUAGUGAACCAGUACCGUGAGGGAAAGGCGAAAAGAACCCCGGCGAGGGGAGUGAAAAAGAACCUGAAACCGUGUACGUACAAGCAGUGGGAGCACAGAGCAAUCUGUGUGACUGCGUACCUUUUGUAUAAUGGGUCAGCGACUUAUAUUCUGUAGCAAGGUUAACCGAAUAGGGGAGCCGAAGGGAAACCGAGUCUUAACUGGGCGUUAAGUUGCAGGGUAUAGACCCGAAACCCGGUGAUCUAGCCAUGGGCAGGUUGAAGGUUGGGUAACACUAACUGGAGGACCGAACCGACUAAUGUUGAAAAAUUAGCGGAUGACUUGUGGCUGGGGGUGAAAGGCCAAUCAAACCGGGAGAUAGCUGGUUCUCCCCGAAAGCUAUUUAGGUAGCGCCUCGUGAAUUCAUCUCCGGGGGUAGAGCACUGUUUCGGCAAGGGGGUCAUCCCGACUUACCAACCCGAUGCAAACUGCGAAUACCGGAGAAUGUUAUCACGGGAGACACACGGCGGGUGCUAACGUCCGUCGUGAAGAGGGAAACAACCCAGACCGCCAGCUAAGGUCCCAAAGUCAUGGUUAAGUGGGAAACGAUGUGGGAAGGCCCAGACAGCCAGGAUGUUGGCUUAGAAGCAGCCAUCAUUUAAAGAAAGCGUAAUAGCUCACUGGUCGAGUCGGCCUGCGCGGAAGAUGUAACGGGGCUAAACCAUGCACCGAAGCUGCGGCAGCGACGCUGAUGCGUUGUUGGGUAGGGGAGCGUUCUGUAAGCCUGCGAAGGUGUGCUGUGAGGCAUGCUGGAGGUAUCAGAAGUGCGAAUGCUGACAUAAGUAACGAUAAAGCGGGUGAAAAGCCCGCUCGCCGGAAGACCAAGGGUUCCUGUCCAACGUUAAUCGGGGCAGGGUGAGUCGACCCCUAAGGCGAGGCCGAAAGGCGUAGUCGAUGGGAAACAGGUUAAUAUUCCUGUACUUGGUGUUACUGCGAAGGGGGGACGGAGAAGGCUAUGUUGGCCGGGCGACGGUUGUCCCGGUUUAAGCGUGUAGGCUGGUUUUCCAGGCAAAUCCGGAAAAUCAAGGCUGAGGCGUGAUGACGAGGCACUACGGUGCUGAAGCAACAAAUGCCCUGCUUCCAGGAAAAGCCUCUAAGCAUCAGGUAACAUCAAAUCGUACCCCAAACCGACACAGGUGGUCAGGUAGAGAAUACCAAGGCGCUUGAGAGAACUCGGGUGAAGGAACUAGGCAAAAUGGUGCCGUAACUUCGGGAGAAGGCACGCUGAUAUGUAGGUGAAGCGACUUGCUCGUGGAGCUGAAAUCAGUCGAAGAUACCAGCUGGCUGCAACUGUUUAUUAAAAACACAGCACUGUGCAAACACGAAAGUGGACGUAUACGGUGUGACGCCUGCCCGGUGCCGGAAGGUUAAUUGAUGGGGUUAGCGCAAGCGAAGCUCUUGAUCGAAGCCCCGGUAAACGGCGGCCGUAACUAUAACGGUCCUAAGGUAGCGAAAUUCCUUGUCGGGUAAGUUCCGACCUGCACGAAUGGCGUAAUGAUGGCCAGGCUGUCUCCACCCGAGACUCAGUGAAAUUGAACUCGCUGUGAAGAUGCAGUGUACCCGCGGCAAGACGGAAAGACCCCGUGAACCUUUACUAUAGCUUGACACUGAACAUUGAGCCUUGAUGUGUAGGAUAGGUGGGAGGCUUUGAAGUGUGGACGCCAGUCUGCAUGGAGCCGACCUUGAAAUACCACCCUUUAAUGUUUGAUGUUCUAACGUUGACCCGUAAUCCGGGUUGCGGACAGUGUCUGGUGGGUAGUUUGACUGGGGCGGUCUCCUCCUAAAGAGUAACGGAGGAGCACGAAGGUUGGCUAAUCCUGGUCGGACAUCAGGAGGUUAGUGCAAUGGCAUAAGCCAGCUUGACUGCGAGCGUGACGGCGCGAGCAGGUGCGAAAGCAGGUCAUAGUGAUCCGGUGGUUCUGAAUGGAAGGGCCAUCGCUCAACGGAUAAAAGGUACUCCGGGGAUAACAGGCUGAUACCGCCCAAGAGUUCAUAUCGACGGCGGUGUUUGGCACCUCGAUGUCGGCUCAUCACAUCCUGGGGCUGAAGUAGGUCCCAAGGGUAUGGCUGUUCGCCAUUUAAAGUGGUACGCGAGCUGGGUUUAGAACGUCGUGAGACAGUUCGGUCCCUAUCUGCCGUGGGCGCUGGAGAACUGAGGGGGGCUGCUCCUAGUACGAGAGGACCGGAGUGGACGCAUCACUGGUGUUCGGGUUGUCAUGCCAAUGGCACUGCCCGGUAGCUAAAUGCGGAAGAGAUAAGUGCUGAAAGCAUCUAAGCACGAAACUUGCCCCGAGAUGAGUUCUCCCUGACUCCUUGAGAGUCCUGAAGGAACGUUGAAGACGACGACGUUGAUAGGCCGGGUGUGUAAGCGCAGCGAUGCGUUGAGCUAACCGGUACUAAUGAACCGUGAGGCUUAACCUUACAACGCCGAAG